UACGUAGGGGGCAAGCGUUAUCCGGAUUUACUGGGUGUAAAGGGAGCGUAGACGGCGGUGCAAGCCAGAUGUGAAAGCCCGGGGCUCAACCCCGGGACUGCAUUUGGAACUGUAUAGCUAGAGUGUCGGAGGGGCAGGCGGAAUUCCUAGUGUAGCGGUGAAAUGCGUAGAUAUUAGGAGGAACACCAGUGGCGAAGGCGGCCUGCUGGACUGCAACUGACGUUGAGGCUCGAAGGCGUGGGUAGCAAACAGG
rnacentral:rRNA from 1 species